CGUUCGCGUAGCUUCAGUGGUUUCCCUCCUUUGCGUUCGUGGACACGUCGCCGCGUUCGCGUAGCUCUGGUUUCCCAUUAACCGCGUUCGCGAGUCCUCUCUCGCAUUCGUGUACCAGCCAGUCCCAGACCCCAGCCCCUUCUUCUACGCGUUCGCGAUUAGCACCUCGCGUUCGUGAUGCUUUGAUCCAUCCACCCUUCGCGAACGCGUCCCCAUUCACGCGAAUGCGAAGGGCAUUUUUGCCCAGCGAAUUUUAAAGUUUAAAACAGAACAGUAGCUCGGGAUUUAACCAUUUUUCACACGAGCUCUUCUCUCCAACACCCCAUAGACGAUUUGAAAACUCUUUUUCCUCCAUAGCUUCUUGGAUACCAUUGUUUCAGAGUUGGAUUGUAGAGGAAAGGCGGUAUUAGAGAGUUGAUUGCUAUUCUUGGACCGAGAUCACGAUACCGGAGCAGCUUUUGGACCACAACAGUAUUGAGCGGGAGCUAUUUUCAGUCCAGGGACUCACGAGGUAUUGUAGCCGGCGUUCGCAGGCCGAAGUCCCUUCUAUGCUUUCAGUUUGUUUUCUUUGUAUCGAGACAAACAUUAUGUAAUUUCAUUUCAGACUUGUUUUUAGUACUCUAUAGCAGUCCGUGAGCUAGUGACACCAGACUCUGGGUAGAAAUUUGUUUCAA